ensembl:processed_transcript Gm26788 predicted gene, 26788
UCACUGAGGCUCGAGUCUUUCCUCCGCAGAUGAUCUUCCAGCGUCUGCCUGGUGAAGGUGUUUUCCUGCAGCUGGCUCCGGAAGUUGCGGAGGUUCUCCUCCACCGCGGCUCGCCGAGCUUCCGCCUCCGCCGUGAGCUGCCUCACCCGCUCCAGCUCCCUCUCGGCCGCUUCCUUCUCCCUCACGAUCGUCUCCAGCUCACGGCGGUACUGCUUGGCCUCGCUCUCGGCCCUCAGCUUCUGCAGGGCGAUGUCUUCCACGUUCCUCUGUUGCUUCCUCAGUUCAUUUUCGGCGGCCUCCUUAACUUUCGGAAGCUCCUCCUCGACCCGGGAUUUCUGUUUCUUUAGCUCAGCCACCAUUGUUUCCAGUUCACUGAUCUUCCCGGGGAGUCCGGAUCUGCUGAAUCAACCUGUCUUCACAGCUCUCCAGGCGGAGCCGAAUGUUUCGCACUUCCGAGAUGUAAAGAUUAUACACAGAUUCCUCUUGCUCCUCUGUGGAAGGACACAGCGUGUACCUCAAUCUGUCUGUAGUCGCAGAUGGCUUUGAUGGGGAUGGACGUCUUGAGUGGGUUGUCAGGAUUCCUCGGCUUCAGCUGCACCACUGUCUUCGCUCGCCCCAUCAGCCCUGCCACCACACUCCGGUACUGCAGGAGCUCCUCCUUUUCCUCCUAGGCAGCAAACAUGGUGGGACUUGAAAAUUAAUGAUUCGAACUUCCCAUCUCACAGGGCCUCACACAAACCAUCAUCACCGAUGAAUGCCCUGACUACUGGGGACACCUUCCACAUCUCCCAUCACUCUUGAAGCCCUCUUCCCUCCUUUUUUCUGGUUAUUUUGUUUCCGUUACUACUAUGUACCAGUCUAUGGUUAUUUUGUUUCCUUGUUGCUGUUCUACUAUGUACCAGUCUAUGGUGUUGUUUCCCUUGUGUUACUACUAUGUACCAGUCUAUGGUUAUUUUGUUUCCUUGUUGCUGUUACUACUAUGUAACAGUCUACAAGCAUUUUGUUUAUUUAAUGUACGACUGUGUUGCUACCCUUUAAUAUCUAGGCACCACAAGACAGGGUGAUUCCUGCCUGUUUUGUCCAUUGUUAUAUCUCCAGAAAUGAAAACUGACCACACACAUCCCUGCUAAAGCAGUUUAAACAUCAUCAAAAACUACCCAAACCAAAGUCUCAGUUGAAUGAGUCAGCUGUGUGUCUGAAGUACAAAUCUGUAUGUAACAUAGAACAUAGAAACAUAGAACAAAACACUAAUCUACCCUGUUGUUUGUAUGACAAAGCCCAGGGUUUCUGCAUCCUUCCUUACCAUGGACUCCUGGACGAGGUCUUCCAGUUUGUGAAUGCUGCUGGACCUGUCACAGCUGUACUUGCGCUGGAUGGCAUCUUUCAGAUUCCUUAGGUAAUCAGUGGCUUCUUUGGCAUCAUUGAAAAACUAAAGAGAGAAAACUUGGCAGCUGUGGUACACUCAAUGCCAGUAAAGCGCAGAGCUGUCAAAUCUGGUGCCCAGGCCCUCUGUGCGCUGCUGACAAGCCAGGGCAGAACCAAAGCACAAAGCAACAACAGCAACAUCCUUUCUGAAGCUCAAACUAAUCUUUAACUUGGGUGGCUACAGAUGAAUAUUAAUUAUGCAAAAUGUACAUGUAUAUUAUGCAUUAUGUUUUGGCUUUAUAUUAUUUUGAUCAAAAGUCUGUUUUCCUUUAGGGUUCAAUCAAUCUUUUAAGUAGGGGUGGAAUUUCAUACAAUAUAUUAAAAUUUCU